AUAUACAGAGAACCACGUGGAGAAAAAGCACGCCUGUUUGGAGCCGGUGGUGCAAGGAAAGAAGUGGACUGGAAUCUCAUAGGUCCCGGCGCUGGAAAGACUGAGACAGAGGGUCACAUCACAGGAAAAGGGGAGGAAACAACAUCAUCAUAGUCAUCGUCAUCAUCAUCAUCUUCUUCCUCCUCUUCCUCCUCCUUACCACCGCCGUCACCACCACCGCCACCGCCACCACCAUCAUCAUCAUUAGCGCAACAGCUUCAAGGCGAGCCAACUCAGCAGCAGGAGGGAGGCUUCCUUCUGCAAUCUCCCUUUUAUCUGGGCUGCUACCAGAAGGUGCCUCCACAAUCCCAGUGGCUCUCCCCUCAUCAAUUAAGGGGAUCAGGACAUUCUUCAGUCCAUUAUGGGUGGAGCCACCCCUAGGCUCCAUAAGAAAGCAGACCAAGCAAGCCAUGGGGAGCAAGCCUAUAAGCAGCACCCCUCCAUGGCUUCUGCAUCAGCUCCUGCCUGCAGGUUCCUACUCUGCUUGAGUUCCUGCCCUCACUGCUUUUGAAGAUGGAAAGACAGAUGGAACUGAAGAAGACAGCAGAACACAGAUGUGUGUGUACACAGAGGGAAGACCAGGCGAAGAUACCAGAUGAUAGCCUUCUACAAACCAAGCACAGAGAUCUUAGGGGAGAAAAAUCUCUUUAAAAAUAAAUUAAUUAAAAAUGCUAUUA